AAUCUCUCCAUUUUUUUCACUUUCAGUCACCAUUUUUCUCCUUUAAAGUUUACCCUCCUCCAUUGUUUUGGCUUUCGUGGUUCCUAAAACUCCCAUUUAUUCUACUACUACCCACCUUGUGUAAAAGUAGAAAGCAACAGUUUCACAGCGUUAAUAUUUUGAUAGACAGAAAAUCAAAGGAGAUUUGCAAGAAAGAGAGAGAGAAAGGUUAGCCUUCGAAGCCAAUAAAGCUCCCUCUCAUCUCUUUCUCUAUAUCAAUCUAUUCAAGAAACCAGAGUUUUGAUACAAAGCUGGUUUGCUUUCUUCAAUGGCUAGGGUUCAUUCUUCUUCCUCUGUUCUCUUUACUGUCAUUCUUCUUAUCUCUAGUCUUCAGUUUCGAGCUGCAUUGCAAGAUGGGUCCGGUCACUCGGGCCAAAUAGUAAAUUCUAAUUCUGUGCUGGUCGCGCUUCUUGAUUCUCGAUAUACUGAGCUAGCUGAGCUUGUGGAGAAGGCUCUGCUUUUGCAGCAGCUGGAGAAUGCGGUGGGCCACCACAACAUCACCAUCUUCGCACCCAAGAACGAGGCGCUGGAGCGCGAUCUUGACCCCGAGUUCAAGCGGUUCCUGCUCGAGCCGAGAAACCUCAGGUCCCUCCAGACUCUCCUUCUUCACCACAUAGUGCCCGGGAGGAUUCAGUUUCACGACUGGCCGCAGAAAUCUAAUGAUUCCACCCGCCAUCACACUCUAUGCAAUGAUAGACUCGAGCUAACGAGUCAUGACUCCGGUGUCAAGCUGGUUGGCUCGGCGGCCGUCGUUCACCCGAAUUCCGUGGACCGACCAGACGGAGUGAUCCACGGGAUCGAGCGGCUCCUCGUCCCCCGUUCCGUUCAGCAGGAUUUCAACAAUCGGCGUAGUCUCCGGUCGAUCUCCGCCGUGAAACCCGAGGGCGCGCCGGAAGUCGACCCGAAGACCCACCGGCUAAAGAAACCCGCCCCACCAUCUCUUCCCGGCUCACCUCCGGCUCUCCCGAUCUAUGACGCGAUGGCACCCGGUCCUUCUCUUGCUCCAGCUCCAGCACCAGGUCCUGGAGGGCCUCACCAUCACUUCGACGGAAUGCGGCAAGUGAAAGAUUUCAUUCAAACUUUGAUCCAGUACGGUGGGUACAACGAGAUGGCGGAUAUUCUCGUCAACCUAACAUCAUUAGCCACCGAGAUGGGCCGGCUCGUAUCAGAGGGCUACGUGCUCACAGUUCUGGCUCCUAACGACGAGGCCAUGGCUAAGUUAACGACGGACCAGCUGAGCGAACCUGGUGCGCCUGAGCAAAUAGUCUACUAUCACAUCAUUCCCGAGUUUCAGACGGAAGAAAGCAUGUACAAUGCUGUUAGGCGGUUCGGCAAGAUACGAUACGAUACGCUCCGUUUGCCCCACAAGGUUGUUGCCCAGGAGGCUGAUGGGUCCGUGAAGUUCGGGGAAGGCGAAACGUCAGCGUAUUUGUUCGACCCCGAUAUUUACACUGAUGGGCGGAUUUCAGUCCAGGGGAUCGACGGCGUGUUGUUUCCGCCGGAGGAAACAGAAGAUUCCGAUUUCAGAACACAGAAAAAGAGCAUCAAAGUUGCUGCAACAAAGCCCAGGAGAGGGAAGUUGAUUGAAGUAGCUUGCAGGAUGCUUAGUGCUUUUGGGCAAGAUUCUCGGUUCACUACCUGCCACUGAAGAAAUCUCUUGCUUCUAAAUCAGGCACAAAACUUGAAUGAAAUAGAAAAAAGGUGAACCAAGACUGUAAAAAAAAUUUGUUUAAAUGUGAUUUGCUUCUUCUCUCUACAGUAGGGUUUUGAAUUAUAGAUGGGAGCCUGCAGCUGCGACAAA